AGAGUUUGAUCCUGGCUCAGAUUGAACGCUGGCGGCAGGCCUAACACAUGCAAGUCGAGCGGUAGAGAGAAGCUUGCUUCUCUUGAGAGCGGCGGACGGGUGAGUAAUGCCUAGGAAUCUGCCUAGUGGUGGGGGAUAACGUUCGGAAACGGACGCUAAUACCGCAUACGUCCUACGGGAGAAAGCGGGGGACCUUCGGGCCUCGCGCCAUUAGAUGAGCCUAGGUCGGAUUAGCUAGUUGGUGAGGUAAUGGCUCACCAAGGCGACGAUCCGUAACUGGUCUGAGAGGAUGAUCAGUCACACUGGAACUGAGACACGGUCCAGACUCCUACGGGAGGCAGCAGUGGGGAAUAUUGGACAAUGGGCGAAAGCCUGAUCCAGCCAUGCCGCGUGUGUGAAGAAGGUCUUCGGAUUGUAAAGCACUUUAAGUUGGGAGGAAGGGUAGUAACUUAAUACGUUGCUACUUUGACGUUACCGACAGAAUAAGCACCGGCUAACUUCGUGCCAGCAGCCGCGGUAAUACGAAGGGUGCAAGCGUUAUCCGGAUUCAUUGGGUCUAAAGGGUGCGUAGGCGGCUUUUUAAGUCAGUGGUGAAAUCUUGCCGCUUAACGGUAAAAUUGCCAUUGAUACUGAAAAGCUUGAGUCCAGUUGAGGUAAGCGGAAUGUGUAGUGUAGCGGUGAAAUGCUUAGAUAUUACACAGAACACCGAUUGCGAAGGCAGCUUACUAAACUGGUACUGACGCUGAUGCACGAAAGCGUGGGGAGCGAACAGGAUUAGAUACCCUGGUAGUCC
rnacentral:rRNA from 1 species